CCGCGUGAGUGAUGAAGGCUUUCGGGUCGUAAAACUCUGUUGUUAGGGAAGAACAAGUACAAGAGUAACUGCUUGUACCUUGACGGUACCUAACCAGAAAGCCACGGCUAACUACGUGCCAGCAGCCGCGGUAAUACGUAGGUGGCAAGCGUUAUCCGGAAUUAUUGGGCGUAAAGCGCGCGCAGGCGGUUUCUUAAGUCUGAUGUGAAAGCCCACGGCUCAACCGUGGAGGGUCAUUGGAAACUGGGGAACUUGAGUGCAGAAGAGAAAAGCGGAAUUCCACGUGUAGCGGUGAAAUGCGUAGAGAUGUGGAGGAACACCAGUGGCGAAGGCGGCUUUUUGGUCUGUAACUGACGCUGAGGCGCGAAAGCGUGGGGAGCAAACAGGAUUAGAUACCCUGGUAGUCCACGCCGUAAACGAUGAGUGCUAAGUGUUAGAGGGUUUCCGCCCUUUAGUGCUGCAGCUAACGCAUUAAGCACUCCGCCUGGGGAGUACGGUCGCAAGACUGAAACUCAAAUGAAUUGACGGA
rnacentral:rRNA from 1 species